AUGUUGUGAAUGCUGUUAAGGCC
rnacentral:piRNA from 1 species